UACGUAGGGGGCUAGCGUUGUCCGGAUUUAUUGGGCGUAAAGAGCGUGUAGGCGGCCCGGUAAGUCCGCUGUGAAAGUCGAGGGCUCAACCCUCGAAUGCCGGCGGAUACUGUCGGGCUAGAGUCCGGAAGAGGCGAGUGGAAUUCCUGGUGUAGCGGUGAAAUGCGCAGAUAUCAGGAGGAACACCUACGGCGAAGGCAGCUCGCUGGGACGGUACUGACGCUGAGACGCGAAAGCGUGGGGAGCAAACAGG
rnacentral:rRNA from 1 species